rnacentral:lncRNA from 10 species
AGAAAACACGAAGUGAGGAGAGCAGGAAGCAAGACUUCUCCUUCGGCUUUCCGUGGCCCUGGGAGCUGAGCACUGCUGCCAAGCAAACAGUGGUGUGGAGGAGCGAGAAGGAGAGCCCAGGCUGGAUGUGGUCGGCCGCUGGGUGGAGUUAAAAUGUAUAACAAGGGAGAGGCAACUGAAGAAAAGAAAAGAUUCUUUUAAAAAUUCUGCUCUAGCCUAAUUAAAAAAAAUUCCACUCCCUCAUGCUACGUUUUAAGAGACUGCCCUUUCAGAAUUAUUUUCAGUCUGGUGGUAACAGGCAGGAAGAGUGUCAGAUGUUCACCAAGCUAUAAAGAGGACACUCCCCACCCUCUAAAACACAGGGCCAGCCCCCACAUUGCUUUUCUGACUUGGGUUAUGAGGAUACAGGAUGUGAAGUUGUCAAAGGCAUAGAUCUUUCCGGAAAGGAGUGUCCCAUGUGGUAGAUUAAAAAAAAAAAAAAUGGCUACAGUAUUUUGCAGCUCCUCCCACCAAGACGUGGAGUCAGUUUCACCAGCCCUUGAAUCUGGGUUAUACUACUCACGGGACAUCAGGACACCUAAUGCAAGCAGAAGCUUGACAAGCACUUGCACAGAGGGGUUUGCUCUCUUUUGCUAUUUUUGGAAUCCAGCCAUCAUGUGAAGAAGUCUAGACUGGCUUACUAGAUCCUGGAGACACAUAGCCUGGUCACCCUUGUGGAUCCCUCCCAGGUUCCAGGCACAUAAGUGAUACCAUCUGGGACCACCAGGCCUCAGACAGUCCUCACCUGACUGUAGCCACAUACACAAGUUCAGGUGAACUCAACAGAAGAACUUCCAAGCUAAGCCCAACCCAAACUGCCAGCCUCCAGGAUGGGUGACCUGCAGAAUACUCAUGGAGGAGGUCUGCUUUGAGUUGUGGCUUGGAGAGAUGAAGAAAAUAAUAGAGCAAACAUUGACAUGGAACCUACUAUGUGCAGGGUUGACAUGAGAAUUCAAUGAAAGAA